rnacentral:rRNA from 1 species
GACGAACCGUGCGAACGUUGUUCGGAUUCAUUGGGCUUAAAGGGCGCGUAGGCGGCUUGCCAAGUCAGGGGUGAAAUCUUUCGGCUCAACCGGAAAAGUGCCUUUGAUACUGGCGAGCUAGAGGGAGGUAGGGGUGCGUGGAACUUCUGGUGGAGCGGUGAAAUGCGUAGAUAUCAGAAGGAACGCCGGUGGCGAAAGCGACGCACUGGAUCUCUACUGACGCUGAGGCGCGAAAGCUAGGGGAGCGAACGGG